rnacentral:rRNA from 1 species
UACGUAGGGUGCAAGCGUUGUCCGGAAUUAUUGGGCGUAAAGGGCGUGUAGGCGGCCUUCUAAGUCGGACGUGAAAUCCCUCGGCUUAACCGAGGAACUGCGUCCGAUACUGAAAGGCUUGAAUCCGGGAGAGGGAUGUGGAAUUCCAGGUGUAGCGGUGAAAUGCGUAGAUAUCUGGAGGAACACCGGUGGCGAAGGCGGCAUCCUGGACCGGCAUUGACGCUGAGGCGCGAAAGCUAGGGGAGCAAACGGG